rnacentral:tRNA from 1 species
GUUCCUGUAGUUGAAUCUUAGCAGCGACGGUUUUUCAAGUCGUAGGUCUUGGUUAGAGUCCAAGUAGGAACU